AAUAGAUACCCCGGUAGUCCACGCCGUAAACGAUGGAUGCUAGCUGUUAGGAGUAUCGACCCUCCUAGUAGCGUAGCUAACGCGUUAAGCAUCCCGCCUGUGGAGUACGAGCGCAAGCUUAAAACAUAAAGGAAUUGACGGGGACCCGCACAAGCGGUGGAGCGUGUUGUUUAAUUCGAUGGUAAGCGAAGAACCUUACCCAGGCUUGACAUCCUGCCAAAGACUCCGAAAGGAGACUGUGCCUUCGGGCCGCAGUGACAGGUGAUGCAUGGCCGUCGUCAGCUCGUGUCGUGAGAUGUUUGGUUAAGUCCAUCAACGAGCGCAACCCCUAUGACUAGUUGUAUUUCUCUAGUCAGACUGCCCUGGCAACAGGGAGGAAGGAGGGGAUGAUGUCAGGUCAGUAUCUCCCUUACGCCUGGGGCUACAAACACGCUACAAUGGCCGGUACAAAGGGCAGCCAACCGCGAGGGGAGCAAAUCCCAUCAAAGCCGGUCUCAGUUCGGAUUGCAGGCUGAAACUCG
rnacentral:rRNA from 1 species